rnacentral:rRNA from 1 species
GAUGAACGCUGGCGGCGUGCCUAAUACAUGCAAGUCGAGCGAACAGACGAGGAGCUUGCUCCUCUGACGUUAGCGGCGGACGGGUGAGUAACACGUGGAUAACCUACCUAUAAGACUGGGAUAACUUCGGGAAACCGGAGCUAAUACCGGAUAAUAUAUUGAACCGCAUGGUUCAAUAGUGAAAGACGGUUUUGCUGUCACUUAUAGAUGGGUCCGCGCCGCAUUAGCUAGUUGGUAAGGUAACGGCUUACCAAGGCAACGAUGCGUAGCCGACCUGAGAGGGUGAUCGGCCACACUGGAACUGAGACACGGUCCAGACUCCUACGGGAGGCAGCAGUAGGGAAUCUUCCGCAAUGGGCGAAAGCCUGACGGAGCAACGCCGCGUGGGUGAUGAAGGUCUUCGGAUCGUAAAACUCUGUUAUUAGGGAAGAACAAAUGUGUAAGUAACUAUGCACGUCUUGACGGUACCUAAUCAGAAAGCCACGGCUAACUACGUG